rnacentral:rRNA from 1 species
GUCGUCAGCUCGUGUCGUGAGAUGUUCGGUUAAGUCCGCUAACGAGCGCAACCCUCACUGUGUGUUACAUGUGUCACACGGGACUGCCGGUUUUAAGCCGGAGGAAGGCGAGGAUGACGUCAAGUCAGCAUGGCCUUUAUAUCUUGGGCUACACACACGCUACAAUGGUCUGUACAAUAGGUUGCCAAGCCGCGAGGCGGAGCCAAUCCUUAAAGCAGGCCUCAGUUCAGAUUGCAGGCUGCAACCCGCCUGCAUGAAGAUGGAGUUGCUAGUAACCGCAGGUCAGCUAUACUGCGGUGAAUACGUUCCCGGGUCUU